rnacentral:rRNA from 1 species
GACGAACGCUGGCGGCGUGCCUAAUACAUGCAAGUUGAGCGCUGAAGGUUGGUACUUGUACCAACUGGAUGAGCAGCGAACGGGUGAGUAACGCGUGUGGCAUCUGCCUUUGAGCGGGGGACAACAUUUGGAAACGAAUGCUAAUACCGCAUAAAAACUUUAAACACAAGUUUUAAGUUUGAAAGAUGCAAUUGCAUCACUCAAAGACGAUCCCGCGUUGUAUUAGCUAGUUGGUGAGGUAAAGGCUCACCAAGGCGAUGAUACAUAGCCGACCUGAGAGGGUGGUCGGCCACAUUGGGACGGAGACACGGCCCAAAGUCCUUGGGGAGGCAGCAGUAGGGAAUCUUCGGCAAUGGGCGGAAGUCUGACCGAGCAACGCCGCGUGAGUGAAGAAGGUUUUCGGAUCGUAAAACUCUGUUGGUGGGGAAGAACGUUGGUGAGAGUGGAAAGCUCAUCAAGUGACGGUAACUACCCAGAAAGGGACGGCUAACUACGUG